CCGGAGCAUCAUAGAGGAUAAGAAUUUUGCAACAAUUGACAUGCUUGGGCAGUGACAAAUAUUUGAAAUGUAUACUUUCGUUAAGUUAAGAUUAUGAGGAAAUAAAGUUUAUUUAAUUGUCAAAAGUAUACAAUCAGUCAUGUAAACAGUCUAUUUUUUUUAAGUGAGUAGUUAAACAUGAAAAUACCAGAUGUAUUAAAAAUGGUACAAAGCUUUGACGUU
rnacentral:lncRNA from 1 species